UACGAAGGGGGCGAGUGUUGUUCGGAUUUACUGGGCGUAAAGGGCGCGUAGGCGGCGGCCCAAGCCGAGUGUGAAAGCCCCGGGCUCAACCUGGGAGGUGCGCUCGAGACUGGUCUGCUUGAGUUCGGGAGAGGAGCGUGGAAUUCCCAGUGUAGAGGUGAAAUUCGUAGAUAUUGGGAAGAACACCGGUGGCGAAGGCGGCGCUCUGGACCGAGACUGACGCUGAGGCGCGAAAGCGUGGGGAGCAAACAGG
rnacentral:rRNA from 1 species